GGUCCUUUCGGGGACUUAGUGGCGGACGGGUGAGUAACGCGUGAGAAUCUGCCCUUAGGACGGGGACAACAGUUGGAAACGACUGCUAAUACCGGAUGAGCCGAGAGGUAAAAGAUUUAUCGCCUAAGGAUGAGCUCGCGUCAGAUUAGCUAGUUGGUAGUGUAAAGGACUACCAAGGCGACGAUCUGUAGCUGGUCUGAGAGGAUGACCAGCCACACUGGAACUGAGAGACGGUCCAGACUCCUACGGGAGGCAGCAGUGGGGAAUUUUCCGCAAUGGGCGCAAGCCUGACGGAGCAAGACCGCGUGAGGGAAGAAGGUCUGUGGAUUGUAAACCUCUUUUGACAGGGAAGAAGUUCUGACGGUACCUGUCGAAUCAGCCUCGGCUAACUCCGUGCCAGCAGCCGCGGUAAUACGGAGGAGGCAAGCGUUA
rnacentral:rRNA from 1 species